UACGUAGGGUGCAAGCGUUGUCCGGAAUUAUUGGGCGUAAAGAGCUCGUAGGCGGCCUGUCGCGUCGGCUGUGAAAACCCAGGGCUCAACCCUGGGCCUGCAGUCGAUACGGGCAGGCUAGAGUCCGGCAGGGGAGACUGGAAUUCCUGGUGUAGCGGUGAAAUGCGCAGAUAUCAGGAGGAACACCGGUGGCGAAGGCGGGUCUCUGGGCCGAUAUUGACGCUGAGGAGCGAAAGCGUGGGGAGCGAACAGG
rnacentral:rRNA from 1 species